GAUGAAGAACGCAGCGAAAUGCGAUACGUAGUGUGAAUUGCAGAAUUCAGUGAAUCAUCGAAUCUUUGAACGCACAUUGCGCCCUUUGGUAUUCCAAAGGGCAUGCCUGUUCGAGCGUCAUUUGUACCCUCAAGCUUUGCUUGGUGUUGGGCGUCUUGUCUCCAGUCCGCUGGAGACUCGCCUUAAAGUCAUUGGCAGCCGGCCUACUGGUUUCGGAGCGCAGCACAAGUCGCACUCUUUUCCAGCCAAGGUCAGUGUCCAACAAGCCUUUUUUCAACUUUUGACCUCGGAUCAGGUAGGGAUACCCGCUGAACUUAAGCAUAUCAAUAAGCGGAGG
rnacentral:misc_RNA from 1 species